UACGUAGGUGGCGAGCGUUGUCCGGAUUUACUGGGCGUAAAGCGCGCGCAGGCGGCAGUCUAAGUCCUCUGUGAAAUCACCCGGCUCAACUGGGUGGCUGCGGAGGAGACUGGGCAGCUUGAGGGGCCUAGAGGCCGGUGGAACUCCCGGUGUAGUGGUGAAAUGCGUAGAGAUCGGGAAGAACACCAGUGGCGAAGGCGGCCGGCCGGGGGCGCCCUGACGCUGAGGCGCGAGAGCGUGGGGAGCAAACCGG
rnacentral:rRNA from 1 species